UACAGAGGUCUCAAGCGUUGUUCGGAUUCAUUGGGCGUAAAGGGUGCGUAGGUGGCGCGCUAAGUCAGGUGUGAAAUUUCGGAGCUUAACUCCGAAAUGCAUUUGAUACUGGCGUUGCGUUGAGGACUGGAAGAGGAGACUGGAAUUCACGGUGUAGCAGUGAAAUGCGUAGAGAUGUGGAGGAACACCAGUGGCGAAGGC
rnacentral:rRNA from 1 species